UGGGGAAUUUUGGACAAUGGGGGAAACCCUGAUCCAGCCAUUCCGCGUGAGUGAAGAAGGCCUUCGGGUUGUAAAGCUCUUUCGGCAGGAACGAAACGGUUUGGGCUAAUACCCCAGACUACUGACGGUACCUGAAGAAGAAGCACCGGCUAACUACGUGCCAGCAGCCGCGGUAAUACGUAGGGUGCGAGCGUUAAUCGGAUUUACUGGGCGUAAAGCAUGCGCAGGCGGCGGUUCAAGUCAGGUGUGAAAUCCCCGAGCUUAACUUGGGAAUUGCGCUUGAAACUAGAUCGCUAGAGUACGGCAGAGGGGGGUAGAAUUCCACGUGUAGCAGUGAAAUGCGUAGAGAUGUGGAGGAACACCGAUGGCGAAGGCAGCCCCCUGGGCCUGUACUGACGCUCAUGCAUGAAAGCGUGGGGAGCAAACAGGAUUAGAUACCCCCGUAGUCCCUGAGCGGGCUGGCAAGGCGCAU
rnacentral:rRNA from 1 species